GACGAACGCUGGCGGCGUGCUUAACACAUGCAAGUCGAACGGAAAGGCCCUGCUUCUGUGGGGUGCUCGAGUGGCGAACGGGUGAGUAACACGUGGGUAACCUGCCCUUGACUUUGGGAUAACUUCAGGAAACUGGGGCUAAUACCGGAUAGGAGCUCCUGCUGCAUGGUGGGGGUUGGAAAGUUUCGGCGGUUGGGGAUGGACUCGCGGCUUAUCAGCUUGUUGGUGGGGUAGUGGCUUACCAAGGCUUUGACGGGUAGCCGGCCUGAGAGGGUGACCGGCCACAUUGGGACUGAGAUACGGCCCAGACUCCUACGGGAGGCAGCAGUGGGGAAUAUUGCACAAUGGGCGGAAGCCUGAUGCAGCAACGCCGCGUGCGGGAUGACGGCCUUCGGGUUGUAAACCGCUUUCGCCUGUGACGAAGCGUGAGUGACGGUAAUGGGUAAAGAAGCACCGGCUAACUACGUG
rnacentral:rRNA from 1 species